AUGUCGUUGCUACGAACCCUGCUCCUUCUACUUGUCUUCUAUGCCGCGCUCCUCGCCGCUGCCGUGUCCGGCGCGCCAUCUCCUCCUCCAGCCCCGCGGCCGCCGGAGCCGAACAACUGCCCUGACAAGUGUGGGGGCAUAGACAUCCCCUACCCAUUCGGUAUCGGCCGCAGGUGCUCCAUGUCCCGCCGCUUCGCCCUCAGGUGCAACGAGACGACGAGCCCUCCCACCCUGCUCAAGGGUAACAUCAAGAUCGUCAACAUCACGCUGGAGACGGCGCAGAUGUUGAUAUACACCUACCUGACCUACAAGUGCCGCGUGCCGGGCGGCAACAAUACUAUCGAGGACACGACGCAGAGCAUGGACCUUAGAGUCGGCGACCCGUUCCUGAUCUCACCGUCGGAGAAUGUGUUCACGGCCGUCGGGUGCAGCUCGACGGCCAGGCUCAAAGGCAGCAGCAAGGCCACCGCCGCCUACCUCACCGGCUGCAUCACGACAUGCGUCAGGGUCAACAACACCGGGGACGACGGCACGGCCUGCAGCGGACACGGCUGCUGCCAGGCCUUGCUCACGUCCGGCCUCAGGCAAGUUAGCUUGGUGUGGGACAUGAACGAGCAAGCCGCACGUCCUGUGUCUGUACGCCUUCAUCGCUACCAAAGGCUGGUACAAUUUCACAAAAAGUGACCUAACUGGGAAUAUGACAUUCCUCAAUAGACUUGGAGGCGACAGAGUCAUUCCAGUUGUUCUUGACUGGGCAAUUAGGAAUGGAACAUGCCCAUCGGCGCCAAAAGGGGAUAACAAUGAGAAUCUUUCCCAUGGCGCUUGUGCUAGCACCCAGAGCUACUGUGUAAAUGCCAGUAAUGGAGAACAUGGCUAUUUCUGCAGAUGCUCCAAGGGAUACACCGGCAAUCCAUACAUAAAAGAUGGAUGCACAAAUAUUAAUGAGUGCGAGCUGCGGAGAUCCCCAAAGUCAACAAUGUACAAGAACAUGUAUCCUUGUCACGGCGGGACAUGCCAUGAUAGAGAAGGUGGUUAUGAGUGUAAAUGCAAUUUCGGACGAAGAGGUGAUGGUAAAAGUUACAAGGGUUGUGAACCCAUCGUGUCCACGGCUGCAGUGGCAGUAAUAGGAACAAUCGGUGCCAUUGCAUUACUCGCUGUGCUACUAAUAUUCUUACACAUGGAACGUGAGAAAAGAAAGUUGAGGGACCGGUUCAAUAAGAACGGUGGAGAGUUACUCAAAAGUCUCAAGAUCGAGAUCUUCACAAAGGAGAAGCUAGACCACAUCACACAUAACUACUGCGACAUCAUCGGCCAAGGCGCCUUCGGCAAGGUCUACAAGGGAACCAUCAGCGCUGGAGACAGUGCACGGGUCGCCGUGAAAUGCUCGAUCCCCAACAACCAGGACUGGAAGAAGGAGUCCUUCGCGAAUGAGAUCACGAUCCAGUCCAAUAUCAGCCACCGGAACCUGGUCCAGUUGCUAGGAUGUUGCCUGGAGACGGAGGUGCCCAUGCUGGUCUACGAGUUUGUGCCCAGGGGGAGCCUCCAUGACGUACUCCACGGCGAUAAUAAGAAACCUCUCCCGUUGGAAAAACGCCUGGAUAUUGCCAUCUACUCAGCGGUUGCCCUCGGAUACAUGCACUCGGAGGCGAGCCAGAGGACCAUCCUCCAUGGAGACGUGAAGUCGGGCAACAUCCUCCUGGAUGACGGGUUCGUGCCCAAGGUGUCAGACUUCGGGACGUCGAGGCUCAUGUCCAUCGACAAGGACCAUACCAACUGGGUGGUCGGGGACAGCAGCUACAUCGACCCCGUGUACAUGAAGACCGGGCUGCUCACCGAGAAAAGCGACGUGUACAGCUUUGGCAUCGUACUGCUGGAGCUCGUGACCAGGAAAAAAGCAAGGUAUGACGGGAACCAGAGCCUGCCACUGGAUUAUGUCAAGGCUUCCAUGGGCGGGGCGGCGAGGGAGAUGUUUGAUCCGAAGGUUGCAUCUGGUGCGAAGGAGAACGAGGAGUGCCUCGAGGAGGUGGGCAAGAUCGCGGUGCAGUGUCUCAAGGACGAUGUGAACGACAGACCCACCAUGAGUGAAGUGGCUGAGAGACUUAAAAUAUGUAAGUGCCGGUGGUUGGAGUAUGACAGGAAGACGAAUGAGAUAUGCACUUAG
rnacentral:rRNA from 1 species